UAAGCAUAUCAAUAAGCGGAGGAAAAGAAACCAACCGGGAUUGCCUCAGUAACGGCGAGUGAAGCGGCAAGAGCUCAAAUUUGAAAGCUGGCCCCUUCGGGGUCCGCGUUGUAAUUUGCAGAGGAUGCUUCGGGUGCGGCCCCUGUCUAAGUGCCCUGGAACGGGCCGUCAGAGAGGGUGAGAAUCCCGUCUUGGGCAGGGUGCCCGUGCCCGUGUGAAGCUCCUUCGACGAGUCGAGUUGUUUGGGAAUGCAGCUCUAAACGGGUGGUAAAUUUCAUCUAAAGCUAAAUACCGGCCGGAGACCGAUAGCGCACAAGUAGAGUGAUCGAAAGAUGAAAAGCACUUUGAAAAGAGAGUUAAACAGCACGUGAAAUUGUUGAAAGGGAAGCGCUUGCGACCAGACUCGGCCCCGGGGUUCAGCCAGCACUCGUGCUGGUGUACUUCCCCGGGGGCGGGCCAGCGUCGGUUUGGGCGGCCGGUCAAAGGCCCCAGGAAUGUAUCGCCCUCCGGGGUUGUCUUAUAGCCUGGGGUGCAAUGCGGCCAGCCCGGACCGAGGAACGCGCUUCGGCACGGACGCUGGCGUAAUGGUCGCAAACGACCCGUCUUGAAACACGGACCAAGGAGUCUAACAUCUACGCGAGUGUUCGGGUGUCAAACCCGUACGCGCAGUGAAAGCGAACGGAGGUGGGAGCCCCCCCGGGGCGCACCAUCGACCGAUCCUGAUGUCUUCGGAUGGAUUUGAGUAAGAGCGUAGCUGUGGGGACCCGAAAGAUGGUGAACUAUGCCUGAAUAGGGCGAAGCCAGAGGAAACUCUGGUGGAGGCUCGCAGCGGUUCUGACGUGCAAAUCGAUCGUCAAAUUUGGGUAUAGGGGCGAAAGACUAAUCGAACCAUCUGGUAGCUGGUUCCUGCCGAAGUU
rnacentral:rRNA from 1 species